UACGUAGGGGGCAAGCGUUGUCCGGAUUUAUUGGGCGUAAAGAGCGUGUAGGCGGCUAGAUAGGUCCGUUGUGAAACCUGGAGGCUCAACCUCCAGCUGUCGAUGGAAACCAUCUGGCUAGAGUCCGGAAGAGGAGAGUGGAAUUCCUGGUGUAGCGGUGAAAUGCGCAGAUAUCAGGAGGAACACCGGUGGCGAAAGCGGCUCACUGGACCGUUACUGACGCUGAGGUGCGAAAGCUAGGGGAGCAAACGGG
rnacentral:rRNA from 1 species